AUUGAACGCUGGCGGCAGGCCUAACACAUGCAAGUCGAGCGGCAGCGGGAAAGUAGCUUGCUACUUUUGCCGGCGAGCGGCGGACGGGUGAGUAAUGCCUGGGAAAUUGCCCAGUCGAGGGGGAUAACAGUUGGAAACGACUGCUAAUACCGCAUACGCCCUACGGGGGAAAGCAGGGGACCUUCGGGCCUUGCGCGAUUGGAUAUGCCCAGGUGGGAUUAGCUCGUUGGUGAGGUAAUGGCUCACCAAGGCGACGAUCCCUAGCUGGUCUGAGAGGAUGAUCAGCAACAAUGGCACUGAGACACGGUCCAGACUCCUACGGGAGGCAGCAGUGGGGAAUAUUGCACAAUGGGGGAGACCCUGAUGCAGCCCUGCCGCGUGUGUGAAGAAGGCCUUCGGGUUGUAAAGCACUUGCAGCGAGGAGGAAAGGUCAGUAGCUAAUAUCUGCUGACUGUGACGUUACUCGCAGAAGAAGCACCGGCUAACUCCGUGCCAGCCGCCGCCGUAACAC
rnacentral:rRNA from 1 species